rnacentral:rRNA from 1 species
UACGUAGGUGGCAAGCGUUGUCCGGAUUUAUUGGGUUUAAAGGGUGUGUAGGCGGCUUUGUAAGUCAGUGGUGAAAUAUGGCAGCUCAACUGUCAAGGUGCCAUUGAUACUGCGGAGCUUGAGUACAGAUGAGGUAGGCGGAAUUGACUGUGUAGCGGUGAAAUGCUUAGAUAUCGUCAAGAACACCUAUAGCGAAGGCAGCUUACUAGGCUGUAACUGACGCUGAGGCACGAAAGUGUGGGGAUCAAACAGG